rnacentral:rRNA from 1 species
UGGGGAAUCUUCCGCAAUGGACGAAAGUCUGACGGAGCAACGCCGCGUGAGUGAAGACGGCCUUCGGGUUGUAAAGCUCUGUGAUCCGGGACGAAAGAGCCUGAGGUAAAUAGCCUAAGGAAGUGACGGUACCGGAAAAGCAAGCCACGGCUAACUACGUGCAAGCAGCCGCGGUAAUACGUAGGUGGCAAGCGUUGUCCGGAAUUAUUGGGCGUAAAGCGCGCGCAGGCGGCUUACUAAGUCCAUCUUAAAAGUGCGGGGCUUAACCCCGUGAUGGGAUGGAAACUGGAAAGCUGGAGUAUCGGAGAGGAAAGUGGAAUUCCUAGUGUAGCGGUGAAAUGCGUAGAGAUUAGGAAGAACACCGGUGGCGAAGGCGACUUUCUGGACGAAAACUGACGCUGAGGCGCGAAAGCGUGGGGAGCAAACAGG